CGGGGUGUAGUAUAACGGCUAUUAUGCAGGGCUGGGGGUCCUGUGACCCGGGUUCGACUCCCGGCACCCCGACCA
rnacentral:tRNA from 1 species